AGAGUUUGAUCCUGGCUCAGGAUGAACGCUGACAGAAUGCUUAACACAUGCAAGUCUUUGGCGAAGCUGUGCUUGCACAGCCUAGCCAAGGCGGACGGGUGAGUAACGCGUAAGGAACUUGCCCUGCAGUCAGGGAUAACAGACGGAAACGACUGAUAAGACCUGGUAAAGUCAGGCGGACUCAUGUCCAGCCUGAUGAAAAGAGAUGCUGCAGGAGAGCCUUGCGUCCUAUUAGCUUGUUGGUGGGGUAACGGCCCACCAAGGCGAUGAUAGGUAGCCGGCCUGAGAGGGUGGACGGCCACAAGGGGACUGAGAUACGGCCCUUACUCCUACGGGAGGCAGCAGUGGGGAAUAUUGGACAAUGGGGGCAACCCUGAUCCAGCAAUUCUGUGUGCACGAAGACGGUUUUCGGAUUGUAAAGUGCUUUCAGCAGGGAAGAAGAAAGUGACGGUACCUGCAGAAGAAGCGACGGCUAAAUACGUGCCAGCAGCCGCGGUAAUACGUAUGUCGCGAGCGUUAUCCGGAAUUAUUGGGCAUAAAGGGCAUCUAGGCGGCCAGAUAAGUCUGGGGUGAAAACUUGCGGCUCAACCGCAAGCCUGCCCUGGAAACUAUGUGGCUAGAGUACUGGAGAGGUGGACGGAACUGCACGAGUAGAGGUGAAAUUCGUAGAUAUGUGCAGGAAUGCCGAUGAUGAAGAUAGUUCACUGGACGGUAACUGACGCUGAAGUGCGAAAGCUAGGGGAGCAAACAGGAUUAGAUACCCUGGUAGUCCUAGCUGUAAACGAUGAUUACUGGGUGUGGGCAUGAAGAGUGUCUGUGCCGAAGCUAAUGCGAUAAGUAAUCCGCCUGGGGAGUACGACCGCAAGGUUGAAACUCAAAGGAAUUGACGGGGACC
rnacentral:rRNA from 1 species